GACGAACGCUGGCGGCGUGCUUAACACAUGCAAGUCGAACGGUGAAGCGCCUUCCUUUUUGGUGGGUGUGGAUCAGCGGCGAACGGGUGAGUAACACGUGAGUAACCUGCCCCCUUCUUCUGGACAACCGCAUGAAAGUGCGGCUAACACGUGAUAUAUUGGGCCUGUCGCAUCAUUGGUCUGGGAAAGAUUUGGUUUCGGUGGGGGAUGGCGUCGCGGCCUAUCAGCUUGUUGGUGGGGUGAUGGCCUACCAAGGCGAUGACGGGUAGCCGGCCUGAGAGGGUGGACGACCACAGAGGGACUGAACCAUGGACAAGACUCCUACAGGCGGCAGCAGUGGGGAAUAUUGCACGGUGGGCGGAAGCCUGAUGCAGCGCCGCGGGGGGGGGGAUGGAGGUCUGCGGGUUGUGAACCUCUUUCGCGAGUGAAGAAAGCUGGCCUCGUUUGUGGGUGGGUUGACGGUAGCUGGACAAGAAGCGCCGGCUAACUACGUG
rnacentral:rRNA from 1 species